rnacentral:rRNA from 1 species
ACGCUCGACACCUACGGGGGCAGCAGUGGGGAAUAUUGCACAAUGGGGGAAACCCGUGAUGCAGCGACGCCGCGUGAGCGAAGAAGUAUUUCGGUAUGUAAAGCUCUAUCAGCAGGGAAGAAACUGACGGUACCUGACUAAGAAGCACCGGCUAAAUACGUGCCAACAGCCGCGGUAAUCUGAGCGGGCUGGCAAGGC